GACGAACGCGGCGGCGUGCCUAAUACAUGCAAGUAGAACGCUGAAGAGAGGAGCUUGCUCUUCUUGGAUGAGUUGCGAACGGGUGAGUAACGCGUAGGUAACCUGCCUGGUAGCGGGGGAUAACUAUUGGAAACGAUAGCUAAUACCGCAUGAAAUUGCUUAUCGCAUGAUAAUUAAUUGAAAGAUGCAAUUGCAUCACUACCAGAUGGGCCUGCGUUGUAUUAGCUAGUUGGUGAGGUAACGGCUCACCAAGGCGACGAUACAUAGCCGACCUGAGAGGGUGAUCGGCCACACUGGGACUGAGACACGGCCCAGACUCCUACGGGAGGCAGCAGUAGGGAAUCUUCGGCAAUGGGGGGAACCCUGACCGAGCAACGCCGCGUGAGUGAAGAAGGUUUUCGGAUCGUAAAGCUCUGUUGUAAGAGAAGAACGGGUGUGAGAGUGGAAAGUUCACACUGUGACG
rnacentral:rRNA from 1 species